rnacentral:lncRNA from 1 species
CACAAAUAAAUCAAAUCAACUCAGCAUGAUAUGCAAUCUGUUAUAAGCGAAGGCAAAACAGAAGUGAAUGUGUUAAACAACUCCCUUAUGCAAAUGUUAUCUCCAACUGAAGCCAUAAUACAAGCAUAUAUCAGAAGCUUCCACAGAUCAACUAUUCACACACAGUCAUACCAAUUCCAACAAAUACAAAUGGAGAUGGAUAUUUAAACCAGAUACAAAUGGGUGUAAAUCAAGCUGACUAAUACUGAUUUAACAACCACCCAUCCUAAUUUAAAAUCAGCUCAAUUCAAUGCAAUGCAGACUGUGAAUCUAAAGUGUUUUAGUCACUGUUUAAAAACUGACUGAUGCAUGGGAAUUUACCAAGUUCAAUAGAUCUUAUUAACUCAAAAUUCAGCAUUCAACAUGUCCAAUUAAUCCAUGAAGUCAAUAAUUCACUUUCAAAACAGUGAUAUCUCAAUGAUUUCAGUAAAUCGAACAAGCAAUGUAUAACCAAAAAUAUAUGAAUGCACCAACUUUUUAAAUAGUCACAAUUGUUCCAAUCAAAGCAACUCU